AAAAAUUCCGCUCCGCAUAAUUUCCGAUUAAUCCCCGAUUUUCUCUUUAGGCGCUAGGCCCAACCCGACCGCCCGACUAGCGCCUAGCGCGAUCCCUAACAGGGAUAUUUUGUUCCUGCAGAAAAUUUAUUAGCCUCUAACGAUGUCAUUAGGAUCACUGAUCUUGGCCUGGCGAGAGGUCAAUUCGAGUCCACCAUAUACAUCGUAUGUCUCGACACGCUGGUACAUGGAACCUGAAGUACCAACUACAGUCAUACGUGUACACGUCAAAAGUUGGUUAGUGUUUAGAACAAAAGGAAUGUAACAUCAACAGUGGAAACUUAGGAAUGUAACAUCAACAUUAACAUACCCGUCCUCAUAUGUGUACACGUCAAACAACAGUUUUUUUUUAUAACUUAUUAAAUUCAAUAAUAAAAUAUAGUAAAGUGUCA